rnacentral:rRNA from 1 species
AUUGAACGCUGGCGGCAGGCCUAACACAUGCAAGUCGAGUGGAUGAAGGGAGCUUGCUCCUGGAUUCAGCGGCGGACGGGUGAGUAAUGCCUAGGAAUCUGCCUGGUAGUGGGGGAUAACGUCCGGAAACGGGCGCUAAUACCGCAUACGUCCUGAGGGAGAAAGUGGGGGAUCUUCGGACCUCACGCUAUCAGAUGAGCCUAGGUCGGAUUAGCUAGUUGGUGGGGUAAAGGCCUACCAAGGCGACGAUCCGUAACUGGUCUGAGAGGAUGAUCAGUCACACUGGAACUGAGACACGGUCCAGACUCCUACGGGAGGCAGCAGUGGGGAAUAUUGGACAAUGGGCGAAAGCCUGAUCCAGCCAUGCCGCGUGUGUGAAGAAGGUCUUCGGAUUGUAAAGCACUUUAAGUUGGGAGGAAGGGCAGUAAGUUAAUACCUUGCUGUUUUGACGUUACCAACAGAAUAAGCACCGGCUAACUUCGU